rnacentral:rRNA from 1 species
CUAGGACGAACGCUGGCGGCGCGCUUAACACAUGCAAGUCGAACGGUGAACGGCGGAAAGCUUGCUUUGGCUGCUCAUAGUGGCGGACGGGUGAGUAACGCGUGAGGACUUGUCCUGUACAGGGGGACAACUGAUGGAAACGUCAGCUAAUACCCCAUAAGCCGUGAGGUAAAAGGAGCGAUCCGGUACAGGAGAGACUCGCGUUCUAUCAGUUAGUUGGUGAGGUAACGGCUCACCAAGGCGAAGACGGAUAGCCGGACUGAGAGGUUGGCCGGCCACAUUGGAACUGAGAUACGGUCCAGACUCCUGCGGGAGGCAGCAGUGGGGAAUAUUGGGCAAUGGGGGAAACCCUGACCCAAGCGACGCCGCGUGAGUGAAGAAAUCCCUCGGGAUGUAAAGCUCUGUUGUGCGGGAAGAAGGAAGUGACGGUACCGCACGAGGAAGCCACGGCAAACUACGUGCCAGCAGCUGC